UACAGAGGGGGCAAGCGUUGUUCGGAAUUACUGGGCGUAAAGCGCACGUAGGCGGCUUUGCAAGUUAGAGGUGAAAGCCCGGGGCUCAACUCCGGAACUGCCUUUAAGACUGCAUCGCUUGAAUCCAGGAGAGGUGAGUGGAAUUCCGAGUGUAGAGGUGAAAUUCGUAGAUAUUCGGAAGAACACCAGUGGCGAAGGCGGCUCACUGGACUGGUAUUGACGCUGAGGUGCGAAAGCGUGGGGAGCAAACAGG
rnacentral:rRNA from 1 species